rnacentral:rRNA from 2 species
CAGCAUAGGUGCUUGCACCUGAUGGCGAGUGGCGAACGGGUGAGUAAUACAUCGGAACGUGCCCAGUAGUGGGGGAUAGCCCGGCGAAAGCCGGAUUAAUACCGCAUACGACCUACGGGUGAAAGCGGGGGACCGAAAGGCCUCGCGCUAUUGGAGCGGCCGAUGGCUGAUUAGCUAGUUGGUGGGGUAAAGGCCUACCAAGGCUACGAUCAGUCGCUGGUCUGAGAGGACGACCAGCCACACUGGGACUGAGACACGGCCCAGACUCC